AGUGAACGCUGGCGGUAGGCCUAACACAUGCAAGUCGAACGGCAGCACAGUAAGAGCUUGCUCUUACGGGUGGCGAGUGGCGGACGGGUGAGGAAUACAUCGGAAUCUACUUUUUCGUGGGGGAUAACGUAGGGAAACUUACGCUAAUACCGCAUACGACCUACGGGUGAAAGCAGGGGAUCUUCGGACCUUGCGCGAUUGAAUGAGCCGAUGUCGGAUUAGCUAGUUGGCGGGGUAAAGGCCCACCAAGGCGACGAUCCGUAGCUGGUCUGAGAGGAUGAUCAGCCACACUGGAACUGAGACACGGCCCAGACUCCUACGGGAGGCAGCAGUGGGGAAUAUUGGACAAUGGGCGCAUGCCUGAUCCAGCCAUACCGCGUGGGUGAAGAAGGCCUUCGGGUUGUAAAGCCCUUUUGUUGGGAAAGAAAAGCAGCAGGUUAAUACCCCGCUGUUCUGACGGUACCCAAAGAAUAAGCACCGGCUAACUUCGUG
rnacentral:rRNA from 1 species